CAAGCCUCCGUCAUGGUCUGCGGAGGAAACUGUCUCCAGGCUCUGAGGGUUACCUCGGGAGGAAGCCUUCGAUGCUGUCCCAGCACCCAGGAUGCGGCAGGACCCUACAGCCCUAUGGACCCCAUAAAUGGCCCCGGCUCAGAUUCUUAACAGUUGGAAGGGAUUCGAAAGGUCAUCUGAAAACCAUCUCCCUGCGGAUGGUGGUUUGAGGAGCGCCCUGAAGAACAUUCCUGGAAGCAGGUCCCUUUUCAUUCUCCUCACUGUUCCUCAAGCUCCCUGGACCUUUGAGUGCUUGGAGCCCCUGUUGCUGCCAAUCCUUGUUUUCUGAAAGGGAUGCCAAUGAACCUGGGCAAUUUCCCUGACUUGAUUCAUGCAUAAUGGACCCAAAGAAGGACUUAUUAGAAAACAAAUGCAUUUAAAUGCUUUCCUGACAUGAAUCAUUUAUUGAAGACGGAAUUGCAGGCUGUGAGUGCCCAAAAUAAGUUGACUUACAGUAUCCUUAUUUCUAGACAGGUCUGAAAUAUGACCACAGACUGUUGAAGUACUCAGAUCUGACCAGUGCUUU